AGAAAUACGCACGGAUACACCUCGAACUUGAGAAAUGUGUUUGGUUGGUAUUUUACCAUAAGUAGGAGCUUCGCAAGCCAAUUUUGAGAAACUCAAGAGCUGAAGAAAUAUCAUAACGAUCAUAGUUCGCAGGUUCUCAGAAGCUCCAUCGAGUGAAGUACACCAUCCUGUAAAUGAGUAAGGACGACAUCUGGCAUUGUAGGUAAGAUGUACGGUGUCGACUCACCGUGUACUGGAACUGCAACCGCAUUUUUAAGCACAAUGCAAAGCUUUUGUAAAUCUGGACCGGUAAAUCUGAGAUAAAAGAGAAACUUGGUAAGUAGAACAGCAAAUUUCUAUUACUAAAAUGAAAACUUGAUUAAUUGUCAAGAUUAAUAAGCAUACUUAUUUCUGAUGUGUUGAAAAACAGCUGGAAAUAUGUGAACUAAUGCUGUUAAAAAUGCUUGCGAUGGUACGUAAGGUUCCGUUUCACCUUCUUGAGGCGGUGUUGUACUUUCCAUUCCUAUGUUAAGCCAUACGCGCCAUGCAACAAUCCAUAGUGCUUCAGAAUCGUUCGACUGAACUACUUCAUUAUUGUCACUUCCUUUUUGAAGGUAUAAAAUCUCUUGAAAUGACUUUAAAGCUGCCAAUGAUACCUGUAACAGAGACCAAGCUCUAGGAAAAUCUCCCAACAUUUGCAAUAGUUGACGUUUCGUGUUGAACACUCUACCAACCCCGCUCAACGUCAAUACCUAGGAUUUAUCCGAUUUACAAAAUUUAUGGUACAACUUUUCUAGACAUAAUUUCUAAUUUUGGUUAUUACCUGUGUUUCUGCCCACUGUUUCUGUGCGGUGUUUCUACUAUGAUGGAUAAGUAUAUUUCCACUAGUAUCAACUUUCUCACUACUAGCAGAAUUAGAUAAACUUCUUACUUUAUCCAAUAAUGGAAACAGAACCUGCCAAAGGACAGCUUGCCAAGUUGGUUGGUGCAACAGACUACCAUGAGCAGAUAUUGUAGAAAACAAAGUUUGACUAGCCGAUUUACGCACUGCAGGCCGAGAAUCCACGCAUAAAUCACCUUUAAAAUAUAAGUGAAACCUGGUUAUAAAGAUUCUGCUGUUAUUAAUUUGAAAAUCAUUGUAUUACCUAAUCUUGCGUACAGGCACAUCCAAAGUUUAUCAAAUGGUGGCAUAUUUGUUGUUCCGGGAAAAUCCGGAAACACAGACGAUGAAUCUCCUUUAAGAGAAACACAGAGCUUUUCUUGAUUUUGGUAAAAAUAAUCACUUAUGUUCCACUGCAAAAAUAAUACCCCAAUAUAAAUACAUUAAAUUUAUUAUGAAUCUAUGAAAUGGACCUAUAAUCCGUCCUAUAUCGUAAAAUCUACGAUAAUGAAGUUAAUAUACAACAGAAAUGUAUUUUAUUAACGCGUAAUGAACUGUAUUUGCCUGAUUUUCUUGAUUUCAACUUUAAUAACUUUAGGAGCUUCUAUGUUCUUCCAUAGCGGAACAAAUGUGCAUCUUUUAACCACGACUUUCUGCUCUGCUAUGUACAUUCCAAAGGAAUUCCAAAGAAAAAGUCACCGUAUUCGCGCAACACAUAAAUUUCCGAACUCUUCUAACAUCUUUUAAGGAAGAAAAAACAAAAUGUCGACGUUAAAAGUGAAAAGAGUUUUGAUUUGAAUGAAUUUUCGUCGAGUUAAAUUUUAUCUUACCAUUAAUCCAACAGCAGUCAAAGAAAUAUUUAAUUCUUGCGUUUGUGAACCAAAUUUGGCGGCUGUGUCGACGCAAAGUGGAAGACACCGCCACGGCAUCACAGAUACUGCUCCAAUGAUGCCAAGUACCAAAGGCCAACCAUGAUAUAAUGUCUCUCCUGCCCCAUGUAAAACUUGUAAAACGCAUUCAAGCUGCCGUUGUCUUACAUCUCCAUGACGUACCGACGAUAAUUCUGAUAAUGGUCCUAAAAGUAAUGUCUGCAGCUUCUGUGAUAGAACAAUAUAUAACAUUUUUAUUACUUGAUUCCUCGAAGCAGAGAUUUAAUUAAAAAAUCAUGGUGAUAAAUAAAUAUACUUGAUUAUCGCGUAAAGGUUGAGGAUAUUUAUGCUGAAGUGCCGUUUUGACAAGGCCUCCAGAGGACCUCUACCCGUGGUAAAUUUACCAGACCAGUUUCUAAGAGUUUAGCCACAGCAAAUAACGAUGGUUCCUAAUACAGACGUAUCAAGUACUUUCUUACCUUUCCUUAGAAGGUAGGUAAUAAUUGUAAU